ensembl:miRNA
CCCCCAGCCCGGCAGCCGCCGCAGCUGCUGUGCCAGCGCUGGGACCACCGGCCGGGCUGCCCCUCUUUCCCUGUUGCACUACUGUCACGGUCGCAGCGAGCAGUGCAAUAAUGAAAGGGCGUCAGUGCGCCG